GACCUGAUGUUGCAUGAGUCUUA
rnacentral:siRNA from 1 species